rnacentral:rRNA from 1 species
CACGUAGGCGGACUUUCAAGUCAGAGGUGAAAUCCCGGAGCUCAACUUCGGAAUUGCCUUUGAUACUGUUGGUCUCGAGUCCGAGAGAGGUGGGUGGAAUUUCUAGUGUAGAGGUGAAAUUCGUAGAUAUUAGGAAGAACACCGGUGGCGAAGGCGGCCCACUGGCUCGGUACUGACGCUGAGGUGCGAAAGCGUGGGGAGCAAACA